UAACGUUUGUUCAUUAGCAUUUAUUUUAACUCGAGUUUCGUCUUUAAUAGAUAUUUUUUUCUAAAAUUUUAUCUUAAGAAUAUAUUUUUUUUCGGAUUUGAGUAUUUGACGUGUAGGUACGGGUGCGUACAGCCUUAGCGAACAUUUCACACAUUCGGAUAUAAUUUUAAUUUUAAAUUAUCAAUACUCAAAUCGUCUUGAUUCACUGUGUACCACACACAGGUAUGCCGAAUAUAAAUACGGAUGUGAUUGUAAGUUUGCGAAUGAGAGUGUUCCAGAAUAUUGGAAAACCGGCGGCGAGGUUACUAUAAUAAGGCACAGAUGACUUUCGCCGACUGCGGCGGCUCGGCAGGGUACGACGACGGUGACGGCCGACGGGCCAAGGAUUUUCCGCUCGCCCGCUGCCGAUAAUUAUAUCAUCAACGACUUACGAUAAUUGUGACAAUUCGCCGGUGCCGAGGACAAUGAUUACUAGAAAGAAACAAUACAAAUAUCGAAGCCAUUGUCUGUAUAGUUAUAUCAGUCAUAACUCUUGAUAUUUGAAUAUAAUAAUAAUAAUAAUACCUUAAAGUAAUAAACAAUAGUACAUAAUAAAUAGUCCUAGAAUGCGAAAUGAAUUAUUAUAUGAUCGACGAUCACUGCACACCGUUCUCGCUGUCGACCAAUUAUUAUGGUAAUACGGACAGAGUCAUAGAAUUCACGCAACGUGUCCAAGUCCCAUCACGUAUCAAUCCGAAUCGUGCUACCAUUUCCUUGAGUAAAUUGCACGAGAGUGUCUUAGUUUCCCAGGUUUCAAAAUUUAAGAACAUCAUGAAGUUUCAGAGCAUAAAGUGUUUCAAUUUUAUACAUUUAGCAAGCGAUUCAGUGCCAGUGGAAGAUUUGGGUCUGAUGAUGCGGUGUACGACUAUAUAUACGAUCUACGAUCUGUUUCGGGCACCCACCAAAAACUUAUCAAGAUUUAGGGUGUGAGUGUUUUUUUCAAUCUACCGAAGUCUUGAAAUUCCCAACGAUUUCUUUUCGAAGAGAAGUAGAGAGCCCGACCGUAAGGUACAGUAUUUCGUGAACAUGAAAUUUGAGAUGUAUUAAGGUUAUUACGGUUUACCAUGUCAACUCGAAAUUCGGAAGAAAGUUUAAAAAUUUUUUUUAGGAUUUAUAGAAAAAAAAUUAUAAUAUUAAUAUUUCAAAAUUCAAUAACCUUUUUAUGGUUUUAAAAAAAAAGUAUAUUUAUAUAUAUUUUUUUAUAGUGGCCGCGGUAGUCUACAAUUUAAGUAAUUAAAUGCAAAUUUAUUUUUUUCAAAUACCUUCGAUCGAAAUUAUCGAUACUCGACGACAGUAUUUAAUCACUAUUUUUUUUUCAAUAUUAUUAUGUGAAGGUUUAAGAUUUAAGAGAUAGUAUAUUAUCUAUUAUUAACUAUUAUGUAAUUACAUAAAACGUUAUCAGACUAAUGUGUUUAUUUAAUUAUCUAGUUGUUGAAUUAUAACUAAUUUUUUAAUUAAAUACGUAGUGUAAUAAUAAAGUCAUACUAUCAUCUACCGUACUUACAUCUAAAGCAUCGACAUCCGUAUACAUUUUGCGAUGGAAGGGGUGAUAAAAACAAGCCUGGGCAUAAACGAGUUAAAAAGUUAAAGUUAAGUUAAUUUUAACUUUUUUUAAUUUAAUUUUCAUUAACUUAAUUUUUAACUUAAUUGAUGUUUACUGAUAUUAACUUAAUAAAUAACGAGUUAUAUUUAAUAAAAUCUAAGUUACAUUAUUUUAUAAAUAAUUAAAUUUUAAAUAAACCUAACCUAACGCUAACAUAUAAAAAAAUAACUUUUUUUUAACUUUUAACUUAACUGAGUUAACCAAAAAUUUUAUUAACUUUUAACUUUUAACUUUUUCUUAUUGAUGCAUAUUAACUUAACUUAACUAAGUUAAAAAAAAUAAUUAACUUGCCCAGCCUUGGAUAAAAAUAUCUGUUUUUAUUAUAUUAUAGUAAGUGCCGGAUAUAUAGGUACAGCCUAUAUACAUAAUAUUGUGUUUGUUGGAGAUGAGUUAUUUAGCUGGUCAAUGAAGAAUAUAUUUAUAUUAAUACGCACGAUUUCAUAAAUCUGGUAAUUGCAUGUAUAUUAAGUUUACUUCAAGAAUUAUUCAUUUUAAAAUUUUAAAUAUAGGUAUUAUACCGUGGCAUUAACAAUAAUAAAGACUAAUAAGUCUGAUAUAAGUUUGAGAACUGUUAGAUAUGGUCAAACGUCUACUAUAAUUUGUGUUCCUUCAUCAGUAUUUUGGAUGUCCUUGCUAUUUAACUAUAUUUUACCUAAACAUAUAUGAAUAUAUUCUUUUUUUUUUUAAUUUAAACAUUUAAAUAUUUAAUAGUUGUAAUAAUAAUUAUUAAUUUUAAUACUUAACCUCCGUAGAAUUUAGAUUUUAGACUAUAGUUACACACAAUAAAAAUACCCGACGACACUUUAUUUUAAAUAUAAGCUACUAUUCAAUUAUUAUUUAAAAAAGUAAUUUUACGUUUUGGCCAAAAAUAAAAUUAUAAUAUAUUUUUUGUUUUGAUUAUUUUGAUCUUAUUAUUUUUUUUCUUAUUGACUUGUUUUUUUUUUUAUUUACUGUCAUUACCUAUUAGUUUAUAUAUUAUUAUAAACUGUACAUAUAGAUUUUAAAAGGUUUUAGACAUUUUUUGUACAAAAUUAAUCAUCAGGUGAGUUUUUAUAUAAGUGUUAGUGUUGUAAUGCUGCUUACAACAUAUUUUAGUUUAAUAAAAUCUAUUAUAGUUUUCACUAUAAUUACAAUCAUUGUUUUUAUGCUUUUUAUUUUAUUUAUAAAUAACUUUAUUUACUUUUAUUUUAUUGUUGGUAAGUUUGAUAAUGUCGACUAAAACAAAAAAAAACCCCAUUAGAGUUAAGUUAUGUUUUACAGAGUGAGAGACCAAUAUAUUUUUUUAAUCGA